UCCUACGGGAGGCAGCAGUGGGGAAUUUUGCGCAAUGGGCGAAAGCCUGACGCAGCGACGCCGCGUGAGGGAUGAAGGUCUUCGUGAUCGUAAACCUCUGUCAGGUAGGAUUAAAUGUGUAUAUAUUAAUACUAUAUAUGCUUGACUUAACUUCCAGAGGAAGCCCCGGCUAACUACGUGCCAGCAGCCGCGGUAAUACGUAGGGGGCGAGCGUUACUCGGAUUCAUUGGGCGUAAAGCGAAUGUAGGCGGUUUGGUAAGUCAGAGGUGAAAGCCCUCAGCCUAACUGAGGAAUUGCCUUUGAUACUGCCGAACUAGAGGACAGGAGAGGAAAGUGGAAUUCCCGGUGUAGCGGUGGAAUGCGUAGAUAUCGGGAGGAACACCAGAGGCGAAGGCGGCUUUCUGGACUGAUCCUGACGCUGAGAUUCGAAAGCUAGGGGAGCAAACAGGAUUAGAUAUGCUGGUAAUCCUAGCCGUAAACGAUGGAUACUAGAUCUCGCAUGGACUUGCUUGGUUCAAACUAACGCGUUGAUGUGUCCCACCUGGGGAAUACGGGCGCAACGCUGAUCCCUGAAGGAACUUACAGG
rnacentral:rRNA from 1 species